UACGUAGGGGGCGAGCGUUGUCCGGAUUUAUUGGGCGUAAAGGGCGCGUAGGCGGUCCAACAAGUCAGGGGUGAAAUCCUGCAGCUCAACUGCAGAAGUGCCUUUGAUACUGUUGGUCUUGAGGGAGAUAGGGGUGUGCGGAACUCACAGUGGAGCGGUGAAAUGCGUUGAUAUUGUGAGGAACGCCGGAGGCGAAAGCGGCGCACUGGAUCUCUUCUGACGCUGAGGCGCGAAAGCUAGGGGAGCAAACGGG
rnacentral:rRNA from 1 species